CAAACAAUUGGAUAUCUUUCUAUUUAUUUUAUACAUUAAUAUCACAUUAGUUUUCUUAUGGUCGAGAAUUUGAUUUGUUAUAAUCAUUAUUAUUUAUAUAAUUGAGUAAGUCGACAGCGAAAGAGAGAGAGAUAGAGAGUACUGCGGUAGAUAGUUAAGAAAAACAAGUUGCUAUACUGUGUACACUGUAUAGAAAGUGUUAACAAAUGAGUUAGAUCUAUAUAGCCAGGACAUUUGUUAUUUUGUAUAAUUAUAUUGUAAGUAUAGUAAUUCGAUAAAAAAAACUUCGUGUUUUGAU